AGCAGCAAGACCAAGUGACAGUGAAGACUAGGAGUCCGCAGUGUAAGAGCAAGAACUGAGCGUCCAGCGCCCCGGCGAGCAGGUGCCUGUGGCGAGGAGCGCACCAGGGAGCCAGCAGGCAGUGGCCCAGGUGCCCACAGGGGCCAGAAGCAAGUAUAAGAACCUCCGUCCCCACCCUCCAACCCAGACUGGAGUUCCAGCAGUUGUAAGUCAGCUGACAUGGGUCCUGGGAACAGAACUUCGUGUUCCUCUGGAAGAGAUUCCUGAGCUACCAGGUCUACCUUUUUCUUAAUAAUUUCCAACUUUGCUUCACAGUGAUUCAUUCGGAAGUUCUCUGUGUGCCUUAAGAGUCAGGCUAGUUCUGAAUGAGUUCUCAGGAGAGCAUCUUCAGGCUGCCAAUGAAGACUGGUCACAUUCCUGAGAACUGACUUUCUGCAAAGCCUCCCUCCCGGAGGGCCCAAAUUUAGGACACACGAAGUAAGAAGAGAUGCCUUCUCUGUUGUGCCUGUAAACAUAAGGAACACUAUGCAAAGUUCUGGAAAGAACGGGAAACACUUUUCUGUCAGAACAACAGCUCCAGGUGAAGAGACUGGAGCACAUGGAAGUUUGCAAGAGCAGAGGCAGAGACCUUCACCCUAUGUCUGUGGAUUCAAGAAGUUAUGCGGAACCUGGAUGUUUCCCGUCUAAGUUCCUCUUCCCAUCUUACCACCUGCACAGAAGAAGGAGAAAGGGUUGGGGCAGAGCAAAUAUAAGACUUCAGAACAUUGGGAGUUCAGAGCACAUAUACUUUAGGACAUGUCUAUAGACCAGGCUAUCACAAUCCCCUGAGCCAGCUCUCAACAAGUAUGUAGACUUGUUUACGAUGGAUUUGUCUUUGUACCUGUUCUUCCUCCUACGUACUGUACUGGAACUGUAGAGCAUAGGGUGAACAAGGCAAAGGGAAAGCCUCUUACCUAUAAUCUCCAGGGGCCACCAAGGAGCUGCACAUUGAAAUCUGCCUCAUAGGAGGCUCCUGUUGUAUGGCCCUAUUCCUUGGAAGACAAGAACAGGUAUCUACUCACCCCAGAUAGGGAACUGAAGGGUGCUACCAAAGUCCAACUUGUGAAUCUCUGAGUUUUAUUGGGGUUACUUACAACAGAAAUGACUCUCUGCAACCAUAAACCUGUUCCAAUUAAAUACUUUCUAUUUACAAAAAUUGCUGUGGUGCCUCUUCACAGCAAUCGAGCACUGACUAGAAGAAUAUGCUUGGGGAAGGAGGGGCCUAGGGAACCUUGGUAGUUUCAGGAAUUUCUGAAGCAUUUGGACAUUUUUAGCUUACUAAGCUUCCAUGCAGGAUAGAAGGUUUUAUCACCCUUGGAGCAUCCUGUUAUUUCACCUCUGUUUACAUCCUGUGUCUUAAGGACUUCCUGUCUAAAAUGGGAGGAUUCAAUUGUAAAGGAAGCCAUUGGACAACAUCUUCUUUGCCCACAGAAAUUUAACAUCUAUCCCCAGGUUAGAUGUCAUCUAUCAAGUCACAAGAGAACAAUGGCAAUAAAAUUAAAGAUAAAUAACUGAACUGUGUUAAAGUAGGAUCUGUCUUAGUCAAUGUUCUAUUGCUGUGAGGAACACUAUGACCAUGGCAAGUCUUGCACAGGAGAUUGUGGCCCAUUUUCAAUUUCAGAGGUUUAGUCCGUUAUUGUCAUGGUAGGAAGCAUAGUAAUGCACAAACAAACAUGGUGCUGAAGGGAUGACUGAGAAUUCUACCUCCAGAUCUGUAGGCAACAGGAAGAGAGAAACAAUGAGCCUGGCUUGAACAUUUGAACCCCCCAAACCCACUCCCAGUGUACUGGCUGGUUUUGUGUGUCAACUUGACACAAGCUGGAGUUAUCACAGAGAGCUGUAAGGCAUUUUCUUAAUUAGUGACCAAGAUGGGAGGACCCAUUUUGGGUGGUGCCAUCCCUAGGCUGGUAGUCUUGGGUUCUAUAAGAAAGCAAGCUGAGCAAACCAGGGGAAGCAAGCCAAUAAGUAACAUCCCUCCAUGGCCUCUACAUCUGCUCCUGCUUCCUGACCUGCUAGAGUUCCAGUCCUGGAUUCCUUUGGUGAUCAACAGCAAUGUGGAAAUGUAAGCUGAAUAAACCAUUUCCUCCCCAACUUGUUUCUUGGUCAUGAUGGUUGUGCAGGAAUGAGAAACCCUGACUAAGACACCCACUGUCACAUGUACCCAAUAAGGGCAAGCUCAUAAUCCCUGUCAAAUAGCACCUAAUGACCAAAUAUUCAAAUAUAUGACCCUAUGGGGACCAUUCCUAUUCAAACCACCACAGUAUCUUCUGUUCUUUAGGAGAGCUGUGAUGAAUGUGAAAGAACAAGCCACUGACUGAGAGGAGAUAUUCACGAUACAGACAGAGGAAUUGAUAUCUGGAAUAUGUAAAGAAUGAUUGGGCAUGGUGGUGUAAAUGUCAUCUCAGAACUGGAGGUCAGGUAUGAUGGUAUGCUAAGUCCCUUAGCAGUCUGGGUUUCAUAGGGAAUUUAGAGGCAGCCUGUAGGGAGCAAGUGAAAUAUUGAGUGAAUGUGUAUUGUUUGGCUUGGGCACAGCCAUAUCAAAAACCACAGCUUAGGCACUGUGGGAGUAGCUAAACCUUCCCUAAGUGAGGCGCCAAAGGAUAGCAGAAUCUUUCUUGAGUCUGAAUGGGAAUGCUGAGAGUGUAUAGAGAAAAUAUCCACCAUUGAACACCCACCCCCACACACAUCCAUGUUUAUGGCCUGAAGACUGCUCCUCUAUAGAGAUUACUCCUACUGUGACUCGUUAAAUCUGUCUCCUUGUUCAUCUGUAUACAGUACCUCUACCUCCCUGUUUAUCUCUAUGUAAUAACUUGCCUACUCACAUGUAAUAAAGACGCUGAGCUUCCGA
rnacentral:lncRNA from 1 species